GAAAACGCCAAUUAAUCAUUCUAAUGGAAAGGCUACAUGGUUACAUUAACCAUAUUAACAUCGCCAUCUAUACCAAGGUUUUAGACAAUCAAUUAGAUGGCGAUGGCAUUAAAUUCUUGUAACUCGAUAAUACCUGUCAACAGAAAUUGUCACCUAAACUGCUAAGUUAAUUAAGUUUCCACCAUAAAUUAUCUCGUUGUCCAACUUUCCUAACUAGAAAAAUGGAACGCUAGCCCAUUCAGUAUUCAUCUUACGCUUUGCUAUUACAAGAAGUAAAAUGUUUUGACUACGGGGCUCUUUUGUUUUUCCACCAAGCUGAGUUUCUGCUUUUCUCUUCUUAAUAUCAAUUACUAGCCUCUUGACGUAGGUAAUGCAGCCAUCAACAUCAAAUUUCCUUUUGCAGCCUGCAUAGUUCAUAUAACGAAUUUUGCCAAAAACUGGACGCUCUUUCCAACCCUGAAAAUGGCAACCGAGAACACCUCAAUGAUGGCAGUUUGAUGCAACAAAAGGUAUUGAUGACAAACUAAAAUGAAUUCAUUUUUCAUAUACUUCACCCAUUUCAAGAAGCUUUCAAUUUCUACAUAGUUGUUUAGAAAUCAUUCAUUUGGGGUAAGGGGCAAGUUUUCAUUCUACCAAUAGCAAGUAUAAUUUGUAACUCAAGACUCCAUAAAAACUUGUACUCAGCUAUAGAACUUAGAGUUAUCGUUGAUCCCAACAAUAAAAAAAACGAAGGGCACAGAGAGGAGCGAGGGGGAGUCCAAGCCUGGUCGUGAACACCACAUAUUGACCACAUGCAACCAACGUAUCCAUUUGGAUCCCUCCCAUCGAGUUCGUACUGCAUGAUAAGUUUCUGAUUACACAAACUGGUGAAGCUCCUGUUACAACCUUAUUGAAAGCAGAAAGGAAUUAUGAUGAAUUUACCUUGUCAUUUAAAUGAAUUGAUAUUGCAAGGGCUUCUUCAGGUCCUCUUGUCCAUACAAGAAUCUUUUUUGCCCAAUACAUACUGCACAAAGUUUAAAUUUCUUACCACAUCAUUUAGAGAUAGAUUUAUAGAAAUUCUCAAUCAGGACACAUAAAAGCAUUAACAUAUCUAAUGCAUUUCUUGUAAGAUACAUUCUACCCACAUAGAUAAAAAUAUCCUUAGCAUAGAUCCAGAAUGCAUUUCUAUUUGCUUCCUUACGCUUAAACUCAACAUCAGAUGUUGUCGAGGUAAUUAUAGUUAUAAACAAUCUUGACAUUUAGUUUAAGUAAUAUGCUUGUUUGAUCUUUCCACCAUGGUAAUGCUAGAUAGUUGAUUCAUCUCUUUGCAGUUCACAACAUUUGCACCAGUUAAAUUGACUUUGAAGUCUUAUGUCACUUGUCUCAACAGGAUUUCCAGCUUUCUCACAGCUUUUAAUGACUUGUAGAGAAAAACAAAUAUGGAAAUAAAAAUUCAAUGAAUCACAACACACAAAGAAGCAAAGUAAAUCAUCCAAGAAGUCACUUGCCGCAUAAAACCAUGCAUCUUCCCUUGGUAAACCAUCUCCAGCUGAGAAGCGUUCCAAAGCUGAAAGUUGUGAUAUGACAAUUAGAAUCUUAAUAAGAGAAUCAAUCCAAACAAAUAUGAUUUGAGUUCACAAUCAAUAAACAUUACACUUCAAAAAUUCCAAAAGGAGACUGCCAAAAGCAAAAGAAAGAUGGAGAGGAGAAAAGGGGGUGGGGCGGGGCGGGGCAGGGCGCGGCUGUAAUCCGAGGGGAAGUAGCUGAAAAUAAAUAGAUUUUGUGAAAUUUCCAGUCCAAUAACUUCACGAACUAUCUCAACAUGUAGGCUUACCGGAUCAGCCGUUUGUGCCCUCUCUAAUUGCUCCACCGAGUAAACAUGUUCUCGCUUGUCAGAAGCAUGGUCCAGCAAGGUAUUUCGUGCCCACUCCCAUGCCCCUUGUAACGAAUCAUAAUGAGGCUGGUAGAAGCAAAAGUUAUCUGCAAGUUCCCUACGAACAAUUAACUCCUCCAAAAAUGCGUCAACCGACUGAGGACAAAGCUUCCUUACUUUCUGUGCCUCCAGUGCACACCUCUGUGCAGAUAUUUGCCCAAAAUGAAGAUAUGGAGAAAGACCAGAGAGUCCAUUAGGUUUUAAUGGGUCAUUCCUAUCUGUAGAAUAAUUCUUCAACCUUCUGGUUAAGAAUCCAUUUUUACUUCCCAUUAAUACUUCCAUUGCUGCUUCUUCUCCUGGCAUGCACCAUUCAAUUUCAGGAACUUCUGCCCCUUUCCUAGCCAUGCAAAAUUAAGAUUAAUAUUACAAUUCUCACGAAGCUGAACAUAACUACAUUCAAAUAAACUGAUAUCUGACCUUGCCACUUCAUCAAAGAGACUUUCCCAAUCAGUCAACUGAUUUGCAGUAGCAACCCACUUUCUACAUGGUGGUUGUAAUACGGGAAAAUCAAUGAGGUAAUCAGGCAGCCUUUUAUUUAUCUUACCCCUUAAAGUCCUAGCACUAUACUCCAACUUUUCUGAUGCUACCCAAAUAGGUACUACAUUGUGAGCAUCAACUUCAUGUAUAGCCACCGAAUCACCAACCCUCAAGCAAAUUUCAUCUUUACAUUUACGGACUUCUCUAAGAGGUGAGAAAUCAGUAACUAAAAGU
rnacentral:misc_RNA from 1 species